AUGAGCUCGUAUAUUACUUGAUUUUUUUUUUUUUUUGCAGUUUCUGCCUUUGCGUUGACCUUCCUCCCAGGUGAGCUUAUCUUCUGACUCCAUCUCUUACCCUUCCAGGCUUCUCAAAGUUUUCUCAUCACCCCAGCCAGAGGUAACUCUCCUUCCCCAAACUGCUCAACAGUGUAGUUAAGGUUUGCAGUUUCAGGUACUGGAUGAUCUCUAUUUAUGCACGUUUCUCAUCUGUUCAAAGAGAGGGCUGGAUUCAGUGCCCGAAAAGGAAUCCCAAAGCCAAAUGCAAUCGGUUCACCAUUACCUGAGGAUGCCCUGUGUUCUGCACAAAGGCUCUGCCAAAGUAGGUGCUCAAUAAAUAUUUAACACCUUAAUUGACGAAUGAUAACAGAGAAGAAGACUGCAACUGGUGAGACAAGAGCGAACUUGCUUCUCAGCGAAGGGUGACUUUUGGCCCUCUUCCACUUCCCUACGUUUCACAGGUCCAGGGUCACAGCCCACUACGCCACCAGACCCUAGGAAGGGAAAGGCACUACGCAUGCCCGGUAUCCAGGGGCGCCUCCGGGCGCGCAGCUCGCUCGGCCCCGCCCCUCCCGUCGCUCGGGUGCGCGCGUGCGCGGCCCCGCGGAGCGUUCCCUGCGUGCGGGUGCCCGCCGAGCCCGCCGAGCCCGCCGGGCGCUGGUUCCCCGAGUGCCCGGGCCGGGGCCUGAGGAGCGGGCACCGAGCCGGGGCAGCGAGCAGUAAGCAAAGCAGACGGCGGGCGCUGCCUGAGGCGACAAGGACAGCGAGCGAUAGAUGCUUGUUCUGCACUCCUAGCAUGCUGAAGCAACAGGUGAGGCCAUCCUCCUUUCACAUGGUAACCUCUUUAGGAGGAGCAGCACAGAGUAGUGAUAAGACUUGGCCACAUGCUGGGACUCGCCUGGUGGCGCAGUGGUUAAGAAUCUGCCUGCCAAUGCAGGAGACACGAGUACGAGCCCUGGCCUGGGAAGAUCCCACAUGCCUUGGAGCAACUAAGCCCGUGUGCCACAGCUACUGA
rnacentral:lncRNA from 1 species